CUGUCCUGUCAUGUUCCCUCAUGACGGCGUUUCACUGCGUGGCGUCCAGCUCAAUAAUCGACAAACAGCUGUGACACGUAGCCGAUUAGAACCGAGACACGCGUUGGAUGUUUCUCUGCCCUGUUGCUCAGAGCGACGUUAUUUUCUAAUUACAUACCGCGCCGUCACCUCUGCCAAGUCUAUUCACUGGCAUCAAAAGUAUGACCAAAAGUAACAAUGGAGUUCCUUCAUUAGGAAAUAAAGAACAUUUUCAUAAAACUCCAAACAGCCAGAGGCAAUGCAAACCUCUGGACUCAACGUCUGAUGGACCGGCUGCCUGUUCAUGGUAUACCACACCUCUCACCCAGUGGCUGCCUGAGAUUGACUCCGACCACCAGUCCUCUGGAGAACAGGUCUCCUUAUUGAGUCAGGUCAGCUGGACCGGGGACCCCUUCUAAAAGCAGCAGGACCGGAUCCUCAGGACUGGAGUUGAAGACAGACCAUGGAUGGUUGGACGAACUAAACAACUUGUUGAACCUCCUUCAGCAGUGAUACCUUGGAAUGGUCAUAUGUUUCUGGCUUUUUAGUUUAGUCUCAUCAUCAGUUUGUUGGGGUUAACAUGCAGUUAUUUUAAAUAGCUUCCUUGUAGAUCUACUACAUUUCAGUGAGCCAAAUAUUUAGGAAUCUUCCAGGACACUGUAACAUUCUUAUUCGUUAACUGGUGUUGCUCAGAUACCUGUCCUGAUGAAGACUUAGGGUCAAACAUGAGACAAAUGGUCUCAUAUUUAAAUCUAGAAUAUCUCUAGUAUUUAGAGCAGAGGUCUGCAACUCCAACUGCCUCUGUUCUGCAGCCCUAAGAGUUCUCCCUGCUCCUCCCUGCUCCUAGCAAAACCUUUUCUAUGGAAUACCAAAGUAAUCAUAUAAAAAGUACUUGACCUGGGUUUGUUUUGUGUUUUUGUGGGGGUUUUUUGGGCAAGGGAGGAGGACUUUUUUAAAACCUUCAAACUGUCAACUGGAGAACUUCCAAAGGAACCAUUUACGUCUCGCUCUCUAAAAUCCCAUAAGACGCGCAAUAAUCUCCAAAAUUCCCUAAGUUUUGGAAGCUGGUUAUCUGAUGCCAGCCUGCAAUGUCUCUUUGAGAAGACAAUUCUUCACGCCUUGUAGGUUUGAGAAAUAAAAGCUGAACGGAC